rnacentral:tRNA from 1 species
GCCUUCGUGGUGUAGUGGUCAGCCCGCUCGACGCGUAACCGAGAGGUCCGCGGUUCGAUUCCCGGCGAAGGCG